rfam:Saitoella complicata NRRL Y-17804 DNA, contig: contig029, whole genome shotgun sequence.
GGGAAGAUGGCCGAGUGGUCUAAGGCGCCAGCUUCAGGUUUAUUCCGACAUGCUGGUCUCUUCGGAGGCGAGGGUUCGAACCCCUCUCUUCUCA